AGUGAACGCUGGCGGUAGGCCUAACACAUGCAGGUCGACGGCAGCACAGUAAGAGCUUGCUCUUACGGGUGGCGAGUGGCGGACGGGUGAGGAAUACAUCGGAAUCUACUUUUUCGUGGGGGAUAACGUAGGGAAACUUACGCUAAUACCGCAUACGACCUACGGGUGAAAGCAGGGGAUCUUCGGACCUUGCGCGAUUGAAUGAGCCGAUGUCGGAUUAGCUAGUUGGCGGGGUAAAGGCCCACCAAGGCGACGAUCCGUAGCUGGUCUGAGAGGAUGAUCAGCCACACUGGAACUGAGACACGGUCCAGACUCCUACGGGAGGCAGCAGUGGGGAAUAUUGGACAAUGGGCGCAAGCCUGAUCCAGCCAUACCGCGUGGGUGAAGAAGGCCUUCGGGUUGUAAAGCCCUUUUGUUGGGAAAGAAAAGCAGCAGGUUAAUACCCCGCUGUUCUGACGGUACCCAAAGAAUAAGCACCGGCUAACUUCGUG
rnacentral:rRNA from 1 species